rnacentral:rRNA from 1 species
CUUCAUGUCUGGACUAAUACGCCGAAAGGGGUACGUAAUACCGGAUAUUCUUGCUUUUCAUAAGUUAUGCAAGCAAAGGUGGCCUCUGCAUAUGCUACUGCAUGAAGAGGGGUCUGCGUACCAUUAGCUAGUAGGUGGGGUAAUGGCCUACCUAGGCGACGAUGGUUAGCGGGUCUGAGAGGAUGAUCCGCCACACUGGCACUGGAACACGGGCCAGACUCCUACGGGAGGCAGCAGUGAGGAAUAUUGCGCAAUGGGGAAACCCUGACGCAGCGACGCCGCGUGAGUGAAGGAAGGCCUUCGGGUCGUAAAGCUCUGUCAAGAGGAAAGAAGUGUACAAUGGCUAAUACCUGUUGUAUUUGACGGUACCUCUAAAGGAAGCACCGGCUAACUCCGUGCCAGCAGCCGC